UUGACAAAAGUUCCAAAACUUUUAAGAUACAUCAUAGAGUAUUAAAGUUAAUACAUCACUUUACACAAUCCUCUCACCACUACAUUAGCAUCACUGCAAGUGUUAGCACAGCGUAACAGACAGUGAGAUAAGUAUCACGUUUUGGGCCUCACAUAACAAGCACCAGUAGUUUAGUGGUAGAAUGCUGUACCGUGGGGGUCAGUGGCCCUGGGUUCGAUUCCUGGCUGGUGUACGAUUUUUUUUUUCCUGUGCAUUUCAGUUUCACAAACCAACAACCAACUUUUUUGCAAACCUUUGUUGUGUGGUGAUUACGGGAACAGGGCAUGAGUGUAUCACAGGUGUGCUAGUCACCUCACCCUUUUUUUAAUUUGAUAACUAACUGUAGCUUGUUUAGUUAUAGUAACAGGCAGGCCAUAAAGUCAUAUUUAUCACAUUGGAGGCAACACAUUAAUGUCCUUUAUUUUUGGGUGGUUUUCAAUUUUGGGGGGGCAUCUUAGUGGCUCAGUUCAACAACAAUUAUUUAACCUUUAUUGCCUAGAAUAUAAGUGAAACCAUAUUCUUUGUCAAAUUCAAUUUUUUUUGUUCAUUAGGAUUCACAGAGGUUAAUAAGAAGAUUGGAGUCUUAGAAAUGGACUGUCAUAAGAUCAUGCCCAUCUGUCUCUGAAACAUACGUAUACAUUCGGGAAUAAAUUUUUUUGAGUUAAUCAUUAAAGUUUUAGGGACCCAGUCUGACUAACCCAUCAGUUAGUUGCUGAUCAAAUAAUGAAUGGGAUAAAUUUCUAAUGUUUUGUAAGUUGGCUUUAUUACAAUCAUAACUAUUCACUUUGUCUGCCUACUCAAUAUUACCAGUUCAUGUUCAUCAUUAUAUCUCGUCAUAUAAGUACCUUUUCUACUUAUGUAGAUGUAAAUGUAGGUUUGUAAGUAACCAUAAAAAGGGGAAAAAAUACUAUCAUAUCAGUGGGGAAUUGAACCUGUGCUACUUUCCUCAGCAUCACCAUCCAGCCCCCUUAUCAGUGUCACUUCCUGUGUGAAGGUGGAUGGCGCCUCAGUAUGGUUAAGGGCGUAAAAUGUUGCAUCAUGACUACUUGCUAAAGUCACAUACACACCAUGUGUUCCAGUUCCGUUGGGAAGGAAGGGCUGUGUCCUCACUCAAAGAGAAGCAGGAGCAUACCACUGUCAUGCACAGCUCAAUGGGGAUACAACAAGGUAAAAAUCAGCUGUUUCACUGUAUGGCAUAGAAUUAUGUAUUUACUGAUUAGACAUAAAAUCACCGACGCAUUUUUCAUUUCAACAGUGAAUGAAAUAUUUUCAUACACAUGCUCUUGCAUGGUGAUGGUAGUCACAGCCUUUUCUAAUCUUCUUUUAAGAAACAAAAGUAAGACAACUGUGCCCGUUUUGCCCCACUGAACCAUUGCAUAUCAGGUGGUACUGAUGCCCAAAGUGUAGGAUAACCUACUAAAUAAAAAUUCCCCCCCACACAGAUUGGUGGGUAGGUUGGACUCUGCAAGAAUCUUUCACUUCAUGUAACAUAGUUUAUCACUUUUUAUAAAUGAGCCCACUCAGUAAAACCCUAAGCCUGUGAGGUAAUGACUCAAAGUCCCAAGUGUUUGUCAUCAUUGAAGGCUGUGGCAGCAGCCUGGAGUGUACAUUUUAGUAUAUGCUAUAUAUAUAUAUACACACACACACACACACACACACACACACACACACACACACACACACACACACACACAGCCCUGGUUCACUUUAGCCACUUUAGUUUAGUUUUAGAUCAAUGUCUCUUUUCAAUCAACCACAUGCUCAAUAUGUUGAUUCCAGCCAUAUAGUCACUCCUACUUUAGCAAAGAAUCAGGAGCUAAAAUGCUGAAACAUAACUGAUUUUGUUGUUCUACUGUCUUGGCCUGGUUUCAGCUAGACUACCAGGGCUGCCGCCACAACCACACGAGCAAUCAGCACCUCAAAGAACAGUAAGAAGCACAGCCCUUUUACUUCAGUCUUGCUUGUAUUAGGAGUAAAACAUUUUAAUUUUCAAGAGAAAGUGUACAUCAUGGAUUUACAAAUUAUAUUAAUUACCACUCCACUUUUGAACAUGAGGUACACAGCCUCUACGCUGCAGCGGUUAGCAUCCCUGAUUACAAAUCUGCAGGCCUGGGUUCGAAUCCCAGCCUGGGCGGUCAGCGUGCAGCCCACCCAGCUGUUCAUCCUUCCUUUUGGGAACAAGUACCUGGGGAAACCUGAGGAAGGUAAACUGUGGUAACCUGAAUGUUAUGCUGGCCGUGUCAAGUUAAGGGUUCUCUCCCACCACAGGCUCAAAGGGCCAACCAGGUGGAGAUGAGCACCAUCGCCAAGCGCAACUCUAGCGUGUGCUCCCAACUUAACCUAUACAUUUUACACUGUACUUUUACCAUAUUUUUUAUCCUCCUCUGUUGAAGUUACUGAUUGCAUUAGGAAAUUAGUGGAAUAAGAACUAGCAUCAGAGCUAAAAUAUUUCCAGUUGCUUAAAUAACACAUUUGACUUCAUCCAUUUACUCACCAAAGUAGAUCAAAUUACCAUCUGAUGCAACCUUGGUAGAUUAAGCAGUUACAAUACACACUUGUUUUCUGGAAUCUGGGAAUGUGAGUGACAUGAAAUUAACAUGUCAAAUCUCUACACUAUGAACUCCACAAAAGCUGAAUGAUCUUAGAACUGUUACAUACACACUUAUUCACUGAUAGCAUUUUCAGUAGUACAAUACAUGGGGCCAAAGAGAUGUUUGUGAUUGUGUUACUGUCUUUUCAGGAAUUCAUUUAAAAAUGAAUAAGUGCUGUGUUCACAUCAGGAUUCCAGUACUGUAUAUGCAUGGUAACAUUAACAAUAUCACAGAUGCUGAAAAAGAAUGUUUGCAUUUCACUAAACAUCUAGCAUUACUUUUUACUCUAUGUAAUGACAAUUUUUUCUUCCUGUAGGAAGUUAAGACAUUCUACAAGUGUAACAUGGAAAGCUUCUGAGGACUUGCUAUUAUAGAAAAAGACUGAAAUAGUUAACGAAGGAAGAAAAAGUCAACAUGUUUACCAACUAAUGUUUUGCAGAAGUAUACCCUUUGCAACAACACCUGGUACAGCAGUAGCUUGAGAGAUGCAAGGCUACUAAGUCUUUCCAAACACCUGUCAAAUGUAUAAAGGUAGCACUACUAGUUGUAGUGCUGGCAGAGUAUAGAUGUUACACCUUAAAUUAAUAUAUGCUUCUGGAGAGGGUGUAGUUACCAUCCAACCUAAUAAAUUAUUUUUCCCUUACAGGUCAAUCAGGCAAGAGACUUGUCAAACAGCAUGAAAUUCUUUCAUAUCCAGAGCCCUUAUGUUCAUACUGGAACACCUGGCUCCAAGUACGUAAGUGAUUUUAUGACAUUUCUACAUACACACACAGGGAUGUUGAUUGUGCAAGACCCAUGACUAAAUAUAUCAUUUUCUAUAAGCCUUUCUGUUGAAUGUUUUUUUCUGACAGUGAACAUUUUAAAUAAAUUAAAUUUUGAGAAAUAUGAAAUUUAUACACUGAGUUUACACUUCUUACGUACAGCUCUUGCAACUACAAUACUCAGAUACAUUUUUAAUAUGUACACGAUUAUUCUCCUCACUAUUCAGGGUACAAUAUUCUCGGAUUUAUUUAUGUAAGUGGCACAGAUAACCUUGGAAAUUAAGGAUGUUUAAAACAAGGAACUGCAUAACCACCAAUACAUUAAAAAAGGAAAAAAUCCCUUCACAAGUCAAAAUAAUAAUAUAUAUUAAAAAGGUGUACUUUCCCUCUGUUACUGAUGUAAAGGACAUAUGGUGUGGUGGAAAGUCUAGUGCACUUCAUUCGUGAGCAUAUCCCAACAUGCUAUUGUGCUAAACUUGCAGAUUUUGUUCUUUUUACUGGUUAUCAUGGUAUAUGUGUAGCUGGCAAAAAAGUAUAGAACACCUUUUUUUUUUUUACAACAAAGGAGACAGCUCAAGGGCACAAAAAAAAAGGAAACAAUAAUAAAAAAAAGCCCGCAACUCGCUGCUCCUAUGGGUCGACUGAAUAGAAUUUGAGCGAAAUCUAUAGACAGGGUGUUGUGUUGGUCAGGUUAGUACCAAUGGCUAGGGUCUAGUCAUUGGUACCCCCCUAACCAACAAAAUGCCAGAUUUGGAUUUUGUUUAAAUUCUGUUCAACAAACCCAUGGGUGUUCGAUACUUUUUAGACGGUUAUACAUUGAAGUGUCAAUGAAGGAGGUUUGGUACUUGUAUGUAGCACAUGAAAAUGACUUCAAAAAUAUUUCUCAAUGAUGGCACCCUACUACUAUUUUCUUAGUUUCAAUUCCAUUUUUCUCCCAAUUUACUUCUCAUGAUACUUUGUCCCUAUAAAGAAUGAGAAGUGUGAACUCACUAUACCUCCUAGGAGUGAUGGAGGAGACAUGUCAGUUAAAUUGUGUGAAUGUAUGAAGAUGAGUGGCUGGUGACCAGUUAGCUGUUUCUCAUGCACACACAAGCAUGCAUGCAUGUACACACACACACACACACACACACACACACACACACACACACACACACACA